GUCCACGCCGUAAACGGUGGGCACUAGGUGUGGGAUUCACUCAACGGAUUCCGUGCCGCAGCUAACGCAUUAAGUGCCCCGCCUGGGGAGUACGGCCGCAAGGCUAAAACUCAAAGGAAUUGACGGGGGCCCGCACAAGCGGCGGAGCAUGUUGCUUAAUUCGAGGCAACGCGAAGAACCUUACCUAGGUUUGACAUGUACGGAAAAGCUACAGAGAUGUGGUGUCCUUCGGGCCGGUACACAGGUGGUGCAUGGCUGUCGU
rnacentral:rRNA from 1 species